rnacentral:rRNA from 1 species
CUAUAAGACUGGGAUAACUUCGGGAAACCGGAGCUAAUACCGGAUAAUAUUUUGAACCGCAUGGUUCAAAAGUGAAAGACGGUCUUGCUGUCACUUAUAGAUGGAUCCGCGCUGCAUUAGCUAGUUGGUAAGGUAACGGCUUACCAAGGCAACGAUGCAUAGCCGACCUGAGAGGGUGAUCGGCCACACUGGAACUGAGACACGGUCCAGACUCCUACGGGAGGCAGCAGUAGGGAAUCUUCCGCAAUGGGCGAAAGCCUGACGGAGCAACGCCGCGUGAGUGAUGAAGGUCUUCGGAUCGUAAAACUCUGUUAUUAGGGAAGAACAUAUGUGUAAGUAACUGUGCACAUCUUGACGGUACCUAAUCAGAAAGCCACGGCUAACUACGUGCCAGCAGCCGCGGUAAUACGUAGGUGGCAAGCGUUAUCCGGAAUUAUUGGGCGUAAAGCGCGCGUAGGCGGUUUUUUAAGUCUGAUGUGAAAGCCCACGGCUCAACCGUGGAGGGUCAUUGGAAACUGGAAAACUUGAGUGCAGAAGAGGAAAGUGGAAUUCCAUGUGUAGCGGUGAAAUGCGCAGAGAUAUGGAGGAACACCAGUGGCGAAGGCGACUUUCUGGUCUGUAACUGACGCUGAUGUGCGAAAGCG